UUAUUUUCAUCAGAGGAGAAAGAAGGAGAAGAUAAAAAAGAUUUUCACUUUUAUUGUGUACGUGUGUGUGUUUUAAUGGUCUAAAUGGCCAUAUUUAAUUUGAAUCUAGAAGAAAAAGAAGGGAGACUAAAGAGAAAGAAGUAGAAAAAGAAAGAAAGACACAACAUGAUUAAGAAAACACAAAUAUAGCUAUCUUAUUA
rnacentral:lncRNA from 1 species